AGUAGCACGUGGGUACCUACCUUGAGGUGAGGAAUACCACCGAGAAAUCGGUGACAAGACCGCAUACGCUCGGCACCGAGCAAAGUCUCUUUUCGGAGGGACGCCCCAAGAUGGGCCUGCGCCUGAUUAGCUAGUUGGUGGGGUAAGAGCCUACCAAGGCCACGAUCAGUAGCUGGUCUGAGAGGAUGAUCAGCCACACUGGGAUUGAGAACGGCCCAG
rnacentral:rRNA from 1 species